UGCUGAAAAAUUACUUAAGUUAUUUUGUCUUAUUUUCAAGUGUACUUAGAUAUUUACACAAGAAGUUAGACCA